rnacentral:tRNA from 1 species
GACGCUACGGACUUAAAAUCCGUUGGCUUUAUUGACCGUGAGGGUUCAAGUCCCUCUACCCCC